rnacentral:rRNA from 1 species
CAGUAGCCGCGGUAAUACGAGGGGGGCAAGCGUUGUUCGGAAUUAUUGGGCGUAAAGCGCACGCAGGCGGUCUGACAAGUCAGAUGUGAAAUCCCCGGGCUUAACCUGGGAACUGCAUUUGAAACUGUCAGGCUGGAGUCUUGUAGAGGGGGGUAGAAUUCCAGGUGUAGCGGUGAAAUGCGUAGAGAUCUGGAGGAAUACCGGUGGCGAAGGCGGCCCCCUGGACAAAGACUGACGCUCAGGUGCGAAAGCGUGGGGAGCAAACAGGAUUAGAGACCCCUGUAGUCCCUGUCUCUUAUAC